ensembl:miRNA MIR346 microRNA 346
GGUCUCUGUGUUGGGCGUCUGUCUGCCCGCAUGCCUGCCUCUCUGUUGCUCUGAAGGAGGCAGGGGCUGGGCCUGCAGCUGCCUGGGCAGAGUGG